GACGUAGGGUGCGAGCGUUGUCCGGAUUUAUUGGGCGUAAAGAGCUCGUAGGCGGCUCGUCGCGUCAGCUGUGAAAUUCCGUGGCUUAACUGCGGGCUUGCAGCUGAUACGGGCGGGCUAGAGUUCGGUAGGGGAGACUGGAAUUCCUGGUGUAGCGGUGAAAUGCGCAGAUAUCAGGAGGAACACCGGUGGCGAAAGCGACUUCCUGGACCAAUACUGACGCUCAUGUGCGAAAGCGUGGGGAGCAAACAGG
rnacentral:rRNA from 1 species